ACCCACUCAGUCACUAACACCCUCUCUGAACUCUCAGACUUUCUUCUUUCUGAGUCUCAUCUUCUUUUCAGUCACGGCGCCCCCUCCCCCUUCUCAUUCACGCCAUCAUCGUCUUCUCAGUCACGCAGCCGCCAUCCUCCAUGUCUCCUCACGAAGCCUCCGUCCUAAAGUUACCUGCAGUAUUGGUUGUUUUCAACAGUGAAAAUGUAUAUGGUGGCGAUCGAAAACCCCUAAAGAGAUGAAUGGCUAUCAUGCUUUGAGUGUUGAGUUCUAAACUUUUUUCGUGAAUAUAUAUAUAAAAUUCUCCCUUACUUCUAGACAUUUGAACUCAAUAAUUUUAUUGGAACCAAUUAAAAAGUUUUGGAAGUUUGUUUCUUAGUAUCUUGUUUUGCGUAACAGUUCAAUCAAUGACAGAUUUCAAUUGUGUUACUUAAUUCUAAAAUAUUAUUGCUAAGCGGCAAUAAUUUGAGAGAUAAUAUGUAACGAGUAUCAACAAAUGUCACUCUUUUAGAUUUGUCUUAUUAGUUAAGGAGUUGCAACUUAUGAAGUAAAUCAAAAUAAUAUGAUGGCGAGCAUAGUGGAAGGAUAAAUUAAAAGAGCGACCUUUGGGGAUAUUCGUGGCUCAUUACUUCUCAACUUAUUGCCACUCAACAAUAAUACUUUGGAAUUAAGCAAUACUUUUGAAAUACUGCCAUUGAUUGAACUCUUAUGCAAAAUAAGAUGCUGAACUUGAUCAGAAACAAAUUUUCAGAACUUUUCAAUUGAUUCUAAUGGAAUUCUUGAGUUCAAAAUGUUUAGAAGUGGUAGAGAGUUUUGUGUAUAUAUCCACUAAAAAAAGUUUGAAA